GGUGCGGACCGGGCCCCUCUGGCGCGGCGCAGCGGCUCAAGCCCAGCGCCUCGUGAUGUCGGACCGCAUCG
rfam:Altererythrobacter dongtanensis strain KCTC 22672, complete genome.